AUUGAACGCUGGCGGCAGGCCUAACACAUGCAAGUCGAGCGGAUGAAGGGAGCUUGCUCCUGGAUUCAGCGGCGGACGGGUGAGUAAUGCCUAGGAAUCUGCCUGGUAGUGGGGGAUAACGUCCGGAAACGGGCGCUAAUACCGCAUACGUCCUGAGGGAGAAAGUGGGGGAUCUUCGGACCUCACGCUAUCAGAUGAGCCUAGGUCGGAUUAGCUAGUUGGUGGGGUAAAGGCCUACCAAGGCGACGAUCCGUAACUGGUCUGAGAGGAUGAUCAGUCACACUGGAACUGCGACACGGUCCAGACUCCUACGGGAGGCAGCAGUGGGGAAUAUUGGACAAAGGGCGAAAGCCUGAUCCAGCCAUGCCGCGUGUGUGAAGAAGGUCUUCGGAUUGUAAAGCACUUUAAGUUGGGAGGAAGGGCAGUAAGUUAAUACCUUGCUGUUUUGACGUUACCAACAGAAUAAGCACCGGCUAACUUCGUG
rnacentral:rRNA from 1 species